UACGUAGGGUGCGAGCGUUAAUCGGAAUUACUGGGCGUAAAGUGUGCGCAGGCGGCCGAGCAAGUCGAGUGUGAAAGCCCCGGGCUUAUCUUGGGAAUUGCGCUCGAAACUACUUGGCUGGAGUGUGGCAGAGGAAGGUGGAAUUCCAGGUGUAGCGGUGAAAUGCGUAGAGAUCUGGAGGAACACCGAUGGCGAAGGCAGCCUUCUGGGCCAACACUGACGCUCAUGCACGAAAGCGUGGGGAGCAAACAGG
rnacentral:rRNA from 1 species